GUGUAAGUUAUUAAGGGCACACGGUGGAUGCCUUGGCAUUAAGAGCCGAUGAAGGACGUGUGAAUCUGCGAUAAGCCUCGGGGAGCCGAUAACUGGGCUGUGAUCCGAGGAUUUCCGAAUGGGGAAACCUGGCUCAUCUUCAUGGUGAGUUACCGCCAGCUGAAUGUAUAGGCUGGUUGGGGGGAACGCGGGGAAGUGAAACAUCUCAGUACCCGCAGGAAGAGAAAAUAAAGUAAUGAUUCUGUGAGUAGUGGCGAGCGAAAGCGGAAGAGACUAAACCUGUGGUGUGUGAUAGCGGUUAGGCGUUGCAUCAUGGGGGUUGUGGGAGUCACAGUGGCAGUUCUAACUGGCUGCCGGCAUGAUGUUCAGGAUGGUAGGUGAACGACUUGGAAUGGUCGGCCGUAGAGGGUGAGAGUCCCGUAAUCGAAAUUGUUCUGUCCGUGGUGUGGCCACCCGAGUAGCACGGGGCUCGUGGAAUCUCGUGUGAAUCUGCCAGGACCACCUGGUAAGUCUAAAUACUUCUUAGUGACCGAUAGUGAAUCAGUACCGUGAGGGAAUGGUGAAAAGUACCCCGGGAGGGGAGUGAAAUAGUACCUGAAACCGUGUGCUUACAAGCCGUUGGAGCCUUUUGGGGUGACAGCGUGCCUUUUGAAGAAUGAGCCUGCGAGUUAGUGUUAUGUCGCGAGGUUAACCCGUGUGGGGUAUCCGUAGCGAAAGCGAGUCUGAAUAGGGCGUUUGAGUGGCAUGACCUAGACCCGAAGCGGAGUGAUCUAUCCAUGGCCAGGUUGAAGCGACGGUAAGACGUCGUGGAGGACCGAACCCACUUCAGUUGAAAAUGGAGGGGAUGAGCUGUGGAUAGGGGU
rnacentral:rRNA from 1 species